GGGUGACUAGUCUAGUGGUCAGGACGCUUCGUUGUGGUUCGAGUUUAAACCUCGAUAAGAACGACCGAAGAAACCCCGGUUCGAUUCCGGGGUCGCCCA